CCUACGGGAGGCAGCAGUGAGGAAUAUUGGUCAAUGGACGCAAGUCUGAACCAGCCAUGCCGCGUGCAGGAAGACGGCUCUAUGAGUUGUAAACUGCUUUUGUACGAGGGUAAACGCAGAUACGCGUAUCUGUCUGAAAGUAUCGUACGAAUAAGGAUCGGCUAACUCCGUGCCAGCAGCCGCGGUAAUACGGAGGAUUCAAGCGUUAUCCGGAUUUAUUGGGUUUAAAGGGUGCGUAGGCGGUCGGAUAAGUUAGAGGUGAAAUCCGGAGGCGCAACUUCGGAAUUGCCUCUGAAACUGUUCGGCUAGAGAGUAGUAGCGGUAGGCGGAAUGUAUGGUGUAGCGGGGAAAUGCUUAGAGAUCAUACAGAACACCGAUUGCGAAGGCAGCUUACCAGGCUACUUCUGACGUUGAGGCACGAAAGCGUGGGGAGCAAACAGGAUUAGAUACCCGAGUAGUC
rnacentral:rRNA from 1 species